rnacentral:tRNA from 2 species
GCGUCCAUUGUCUAAUGGAUAGGACAGAG